AGAGUUUGAUCCUGGCUCAGGACGAACGCUGGCGGCGCGCCUAACACAUGCAAGUCGAACGAGCGAGAGAGAGUUUACUUUCUCGAGCGAGUGGCGAACGGGUGAGUAACGCGUGAGGAACCUGCCUCAAAGAGGGGGACAACAGUUGGAAACGACUGCUAAUACCGCAUAAGCCCACGACCCGGCAUCGGGUAGAGGGAAAAGGAUCAAUCCGCUUUGAGAUGGCCUCGCGUCCGAUUAGCUAGUUGGUGAGGUAACGGCCCACCAAGGCGACGAUCGGUAGCCGGACUGAGAGGUUGAACGGCCACAUUGGGACUGAGACACGGCCCAGACUCCUACGGGAGGCAGCAGUGGGGAAUAUUGCACAAUGGGGGAAACCCUGAUGCAGCGACGCCGCGUGGAGGAGAAGGUCUUCGGAUUGUGAACUCCUGUUGUUGAGGAAGAUAAUGACGGUACUCAACAAGGAAGUGACGGCUAACUACGUGCCAGCAGCCGCGGUAAAACGUAGGUCACAAGCGUUGUCCGGAAUUACUGGGUGUAAAGGGAGCGCAGGCGGGAAGACAAGUUGGAAGUGAAAUCCAUGGGCUCAACCCAUGAUCUGCUUUCAAAACUGUUUUUCUUGAGUAGUGCAGAGGUAGGCGGAAUUCCCGGUGUAGCGGUGGAAUGCGUAGAUAUCGGGAGGAACACCAGUGGCGAAGGCGGCCUACUGGGCACCAACUGACGCUGAGGCUCGAAAGUGUGGGUAGCAAACAGGAUUAGAUACCCUGGUAGUCCACACUGUAAACGAUGAUUACUAGGUGUUGGAGGAUUGACCCCUUCAGUGCCGCAGUUAACACAAUAAGUAAUCCACCUGGGGAGUACGACCGCAAGGUUGAAACUCAAAGGAAUUGACGGGGGCCCGCACAAGCAGUGGAGUAUGUGGUUUAAUUCGACGCAACGCGAAGAACCUUACCAAGUCUUGACAUCCUGCGACGGACAUAGAAAUAUGUUUUUCCUUCGGGACGCAGAGACAGGUGGUGCAUGGUUGUCGUCAGCUCGUGUCGUGAGAUGUUGGGUUAAGUCCCGCAACGAGCGCAACCCUUAUGGUCAGUUACUACGCAAGAGGACUCUGGCCAGACUGCCGUUGACAAAACGGAGGAAGGUGGGGAUGACGUCAAAUCAUCAUGCCCUUUAUGACUUGGGCUACACACGUACUACAAUGGCGUUAAACAAAGAGAAGCAAGACCGCGAGGUGGAGCAAAACUCAGAAACAACGUCCCAGUUCGGACUGCAGGCUGCAACUCGCCUGCACGAAGUCGGAAUUGCUAGUAAUCGCAGAUCAGCAUGCUGCGGUGAAUACG
rnacentral:rRNA from 1 species